GAUGAACGCUGGCGGCGUGCCUAAUACAUGCAAGUCGAGCGAACAGACGAGGAGCUUGCUCCUCUGACGUUAGCGGCGGACGGGUGAGUAACACGUGGAUAACCUACCUAUAAGACUGGGAUAACUUCGGGAAACCGGAGCUAAUACCGGAUAAUAUAUUGAACCGCAUGGUUCAAUAGUGAAAGACGGUUUUGCUGUCACUUAUAGAUGGAUCCGCGCCGCAUUAGCUAGUUGGUAAGGUAACGGCUUACCAAGGCAACGAUGCGUAGCCGACCUGAGAGGGUGAUCGGCCACACUGGAACUGAGACACGGUCCAGACUCCUACGGGAGGCAGCAGUAGGGAAUCUUCCGCAAUGGGCGAAAGCCUGACGGAGCAACGCCGCGUGAGUGAUGAAGGUCUUCGGAUCGUAAAACUCUGUUGUUAGGGAAGAACAAAUGUGUAAGUAACUGUGCACGUCUUGACGGUACCUAAUCAGAAAGCCACGGCUAACUACGUG
rnacentral:rRNA from 1 species